rnacentral:rRNA from 1 species
AUGCACUCGAAAACCAAUACCAAGAUUCUACAUGGCGAUGUUAAACCAGCUAAUAUACUUUUGGAUGAUAAGUAUGUGCCAAAGAUCUCAGACUUCGGCAUAUCAAGGUUGAUUGCAAGAGACAAACAACACACGGGAUCUAUCAUUGGUGACAUGAGUUAUAUGGAUCCGGUAUAUCUACAAACAGGGCUACUAACAGAAAAAAGUGAUGUCUACAGUUUUGGAGUUGUCAUCUUGGAGCUUAUUAGUAGGAAGAAAGCUACACAUUCCGACGGUGGUAGUUUAGUAAACAAUUUCCUUGAAGCUUACAAGAAAGAGAAGAAAGCAACUCCAUUAUUUGAGGAGGAAAUUGCGGUAACAGAAGAUUUGGACAUUCUUGAUAGUUUGGCAUGUAUUGCUGUGGAAUGCCUUAACCUUGAUGUGGAUCAAAGACCAUGGAUGACAAACGUAGCAGAGCGUCUCCUCAUAAUGGAUCCAUCCCGCAAGUCGUAA